GGGGAAGCUACGGGCGCCAUCUUGGCUGCGGGCACAGCCGCGGGGUGGACCUACCCUGCGGGCAGAGUGACCGUGGUUGGCUACCGCCGGAGGCCCUACGGCCGUAGAACGGCGGUCGCUGAGCGGGCGGGGAGCCCCACAGGCAGAGCGGCGCGAGUUGCGCGCCAAAUUCUCACCUCACAGGAGGCUCUACCAGGCUGCGCGGGAAGCGUUUUUGCCCUUGAAGGGAUUGGUGUGCCUCAGGGUCUUAGCGUUUCACACGCUUGAGAGAGGCCUACACAGCCUGAGGGCCAUAUAUAAACGAACAUAAAACCUGCUGCUGUUGUAAAGCAGCCUGUGCCUCAUCCACAGCGUUCAUAUAAGACUAAAGAAAUUCUCUUGAAAUUCAUUAGAUUUCUAAAAAAGAACAAUAAAAGACUUAAUACAGCUUGAUAGUACAGCUUUUCACAAACACAUCAGCAGUGCUAGCAGCUACCCAAGGCAGAAAAUGUGAAGUAAAGGUCUUCUACGUGAUACCUCCAGAGUCUCAGCAAAACUAGAAGGAGCCUCACUCUAUAUCUAUCUACUCUCACAAAAAAUAGGACCAGAAAUAAGACUGUAUCCAGCUCGGAAGCAGGGAGAGCAAGCUUUAAGAAGUCCUGAGCUUUUUCCCUGGCCCAAGGAGCACAGGCAAAGUGUUUGCACCUGUGCUCCCCACCUGACCGGAAGGGGUGGGCACAGGGUGCAGCCCCCCCUGGGCUCAUAUAAGGGCCAGCCACUGAAGGGAAAGAAUCCCUUGAACCUGGGUUGCUUCUGAAGAAGACUACUAUGUAGCCAGAAAGCCUCUCCUUUACCAGUUAGGAAACUUUUUAACUUUACCUCCUGAGCAUCAAGGAAGCGUCCCUGAGUCCACCAGAGACAGGAGCUGGGCAACUGCACAGCAACGAACAAAACCAUUUCCCUGAAGGCCACCAACUGAAAAUGAAGCUCUUGUGUGUCUGUGCGUGCCCUACAUUCGCAAUUUGUUCACCUAUGUUGGUUAAGUCCCACACCACUGUGCAGACUAGAAAGGAACCAUAAAGUUUGUGGUCAGGUGGGCAUCUAAGAUAUAAAGAGGUAUGCCAAUAAAAAGCCUUCAUAAAUCUCUAUGCCCAGAAGCACAUUAUUUAAACAUUCUAACAUGCAGCAGGUGACUCAUCAGAAUAAAAGUGGAGUGUACAGAUUCUAG
rnacentral:lncRNA from 1 species